CGAAUGUCCAAGAUGACUGAUUAUGGAUCCCCGAAUCGUCGAAGCUGGAAAUGAUGAUAUAGCGCUGAACUGACAAGGAGACGUUUAGUCGUCUAGUGUGAGGGUUUGGAGGGGUUGUACCACGGAGACGCUUAAAACUAGAAAGAUCUUCGGUUUUUAAGCACACAGCCGUUGAGGGGAUGUAAUUCUGGAUCUGGAAAGUGAUUUUAGUCGAGUCAGCAUUUGUGCUGCUGUUUAAUGGAAGCUUGGAACAGAACUCUAAUAGACGCUCAUCCCUGUGUAGUGAUAACUCUGUCCCGGAUGAUCCCAGUCAGUCGGAUGUUUAAUAAUCAGAGUUUUGACAUGCUCACUUCCUGCUCACACAUCGGGGUCUGUGUUACACUUCCAGCAGUGGUCCCCAGUCAGCGUUGGAACAUGCUGGAAUGUGUGCACCCCGCCGCCCCCAGCCUUGCAUGAGCUUGGCCUGAAGUUACAACGAGACCCGUCGAGGCCCCGGGCCAGCACAUCUGGAAGUGUGCUCCAGUCUCGGCCAUUCAUGUUAUGAUGUGCAGUGCAGAUCCCCUUUGCUCAUCUUUAGUGAUUAUACCAGAGCAUUAUAAAAGUGCUAAAAAGAAAGAUUUUGUAAAAAUGAUCUUUCUACUGGUGUUGGAGUGUUGUUAUAUAUCUGUGGUCGUCCAUAUCAUUUGAAUACUGGCUAAACAUGGCUUAUCCAUUCAUUUCAACAAUUUAAUUUCAAGAAUUUGGCUGUAAGGGACAACACAUAGGGAAGAACAGGAAUAGAUUGUUCUAAUAUUGAUUUGAUUUAUGUUCUCUGGCACAUAUUAUUUCCCAGAAGAAAAGGAUUUUUUAAAAAAAUGGUAAAUAUUUAGGU